UUGACCCGGCGAUGUCCGAAUGGGGAAACCCAGUGCAAUUCGUUGCACUAUCGUUAACUGAAUACAUAGGUUAACGAGGCGAACCGGGGGAACUGAAACAUCUAAGUACCCCGAGGAAAAGAAAUCAACCGAGAUUCCCCCAGUAGCGGCGAGCGAACGGGGAGCAGCCCAGAGUCUGAAUCAGCUUGUGUGUUAGUGGAAGCGUCUGGAAAGUCGCACGGUACAGGGUGACAGUCCCGUACACGAAAGCACACAGGCUGUGAACUCGAAGAGUAGGGCGGGACACGUGGUAUCCUGUCUGAAUAUGGGGGGACCAUCCUCCAAGGCUAAAUACUCCUGACUGACCGAUAGUGAACCAGUACCGUGAGGGAAAGGCGAAAAGAACCCCGGCGAGGGGAGUGAAAAAGAACCUGAAACCGUGUACGUACAAGCAGUGGGAGCACCCUUGUGGUGUGACUGCGUACCUUUUGUAUAAUGGGUCAGCGACUUAUAUUCUGUAGCAAGGUUAACCGUAUAGGGGAGCCGAAGGGAAACCGAGUCUUAACUGGGCGUUAAGUUGCAGGGUAUAGACCCGAAACCCGGUGAUCUAGCCAUGGGCAGGUUGAAGGUUGGGUAACACUAACUGGAGGACCGAACCGACUAAUGUUGAAAAAUUAGCGGAUGACUUGUGGCUGGGGGUGAAAGGCCAAUCAAACCGGGAGAUAGCUGGUUCUCCCCGAAAGCUAUUUAGGUAGCGCCUCGUGAACUCAUCUUCGGGGGUAGAGCACUGUUUCGGCUAGGGGGCCA
rnacentral:rRNA from 1 species